UUAAGCGACUAAGCGUACACGGUGGAUGCCCUGGCAGUCAGAGGCGAUGAAGGACGUGCUAAUCUGCGAUAAGCGUCGGUAAGGUGAUAUGAACCGUUAUAACCGGCGAUUUCCGAAUGGGGAAACCCAGUGUGAUUCGUCACACUAUCAUUAACUGAAUCCAUAGGUUAAUGAGGCGAACCGGGGGAACUGAAACAUCUAAGUACCCCGAGGAAAAGAAAUCAACCGAGAUUCCCCCAGUAGCGGCGAGCGAACGGGGAGCAGCCCAGAGCCUGAAUCAGUGUGUGUGUUAGUGGAAGCGUCUGGAAAGGCGCGCGAUACAGGGUGACAGCCCCGUACACAAAAAUGCACAUACUGUGAGCUCGAUGAGUAGGGCGGGACACGUGGUAUCCUGUCUGAAUAUGGGGGGACCAUCCUCCAAGGCUAAAUACUCCUGACUGACCGAUAGUGAACCAGUACCGUGAGGGAAAGGCGAAAAGAACCCCGGCGAGGGGAGUGAAAAAGAACCUGAAACCGUGUACGUACAAGCAGUGGGAGCACGCUUAGGCGUGUGACUGCGUACCUUUUGUAUAAUGGGUCAGCGACUUAUAUUCUGUAGCAAGGUUAACCGAAUAGGGGAGCCGAAGGGAAACCGAGUCUUAACUGGGCGUUAAGUUGCAGGGUAUAGACCCGAAACCCGGUGAUCUAGCCAUGGGCAGGUUGAAGGUUGGGUAACACUAACUGGAGGACCGAACCGACUAAUGUUGAAAAAUUAGCGGAUGACUUGUGGCUGGGGGUGAAAGGCCAAUCAAACCGGGAGAUAGCUGGUUCUCCCCGAAAGCUAUUUAGGUAGCGCCUCGUGAAUUCAUCUCCGGGGGUAGAGCACUGUUUCGGCAAGGGGGUCAUCCCGACUUACCAACCCGAUGCAAACUGCGAAUACCGGAGAAUGUUAUCACGGGAGACACACGGCGGGUGCUAACGUCCGUCGUGAAGAGGGAAACAACCCAGACCGCCAGCUAAGGUCCCAAAGUCAUGGUUAAGUGGGAAACGAUGUGGGAAGGCCCAGACAGCCAGGAUGUUGGCUUAGAAGCAGCCAUCAUUUAAAGAAAGCGUAAUAGCUCACUGGUCGAGUCGGCCUGCGCGGAAGAUGUAACGGGGCUAAACCAUGCACCGAAGCUGCGGCAGCGACGCUUAUGCGUUGUUGGGUAGGGGAGCGUUCUGUAAGCCUGUGAAGGUGUGCUGUGAGGCAUGCUGGAGGUAUCAGAAGUGCGAAUGCUGACAUAAGUAACGAUAAAGCGGGUGAAAAGCCCGCUCGCCGGAAGACCAAGGGUUCCUGUCCAACGUUAAUCGGGGCAGGGUGAGUCGACCCCUAAGGCGAGGCCGAAAGGCGUAGUCGAUGGGAAACAGGUUAAUAUUCCUGUACUUGGUGUUACUGCGAAGGGGGGACGGAGAAGGCUAUGUUGGCCGGGCGACGGUUGUCCCGGUUUAAGCGUGUAGGCUGGUUUUCCAGGCAAAUCCGGAAAAUCAAGGCUGAGGCGUGAUGACGAGGCACUACGGUGCUGAAGCAACAAAUGCCCUGCUUCCAGGAAAAGCCUCUAAGCAUCAGGUAACAUCAAAUCGUACCCCAAACCGACACAGGUGGUCAGGUAGAGAAUACCAAGGCGCUUGAGAGAACUCGGGUGAAGGAACUAGGCAAAAUGGUGCCGUAACUUCGGGAGAAGGCACGCUGAUAUGUAGGUGAAGUCCCUCGCGGAUGGAGCUGAAAUCAGUCGAAGAUACCAGCUGGCUGCAACUGUUUAUUAAAAACACAGCACUGUGCAAACACGAAAGUGGACGUAUACGGUGUGACGCCUGCCCGGUGCCGGAAGGUUAAUUGAUGGGGUCAGCGCAAGCGAAGCUCUUGAUCGAAGCCCCGGUAAACGGCGGCCGUAACUAUAACGGUCCUAAGGUAGCGAAAUUCCUUGUCGGGUAAGUUCCGACCUGCACGAAUGGCGUAAUGAUGGCCAGGCUGUCUCCACCCGAGACUCAGUGAAAUUGAACUCGCUGUGAAGAUGCAGUGUACCCGCGGCAAGACGGAAAGACCCCGUGAACCUUUACUAUAGCUUGACACUGAACAUUGAGCCUUGAUGUGUAGGAUAGGUGGGAGGCUUAGAAGUGUGGACGCCAGUCUGCAUGGAGCCGACCUUGAAAUACCACCCUUUAAUGUUUGAUGUUCUAACGUUGACCCGUAAUCCGGGUUGCGGACAGUGUCUGGUGGGUAGUUUGACUGGGGCGGUCUCCUCCUAAAGAGUAACGGAGGAGCACGAAGGUUGGCUAAUCCUGGUCGGACAUCAGGAGGUUAGUGCAAUGGCAUAAGCCAGCUUGACUGCGAGCGUGACGGCGCGAGCAGGUGCGAAAGCAGGUCAUAGUGAUCCGGUGGUUCUGAAUGGAAGGGCCAUCGCUCAACGGAUAAAAGGUACUCCGGGGAUAACAGGCUGAUACCGCCCAAGAGUUCAUAUCGACGGCGGUGUUUGGCACCUCGAUGUCGGCUCAUCACAUCCUGGGGCUGAAGUAGGUCCCAAGGGUAUGGCUGUUCGCCAUUUAAAGUGGUACGCGAGCUGGGUUUAGAACGUCGUGAGACAGUUCGGUCCCUAUCUGCCGUGGGCGCUGGAGAACUGAGGGGGGCUGCUCCUAGUACGAGAGGACCGGAGUGGACGCAUCACUGGUGUUCGGGUUGUCAUGCCAAUGGCACUGCCCGGUAGCUAAAUGCGGAAGAGAUAAGUGCUGAAAGCAUCUAAGCACGAAACUUGCCCCGAGAUGAGUUCUCCCUGACCCUUUAAGGGUCCUGAAGGAACGUUGAAGACGACGACGUUGAUAGGCCGGGUGUGUAAGCGCAGCGAUGCGUUGAGCUAACCGGUACUAAUGAACCGUGAGGCUUAACCUU
rnacentral:rRNA from 1 species